rnacentral:rRNA from 1 species
UACGGAGGGUGCAAGCGUUAUCCGGAUUCACUGGGUUUAAAGGGUGCGUAGGCGGGUAUGUAAGUCAGUGGUGAAAUACCGGAGCUUAACUUCGGAACUGCCAUUGAUACUAUAUAUCUUGAAUAUUGUGGAGGUAAGCGGAAUAUGUCAUGUAGCGGUGAAAUGCUUAGAGAUGACAUAGAACACCGAUUGCGAAGGCAGCUUGCUACGCAAAUAUUGACGCUGAGGCACGAAAGCGUGGGGAUCAAACGGG